GUGGGUAAAGAAAAAAGUAAAGGACUGACAUUAGUGUGGAGCUAGUAUACUUCUACUUUUGGUGUUCCUGUCCUGGGAUCUCUGCUUAAUGACCUGGAUAUUUAAUGAGGCCCUUCAUUUUGAUUGUGUAUGUCUCUUUCAAAUACUGAUGCUGCAGAUAUCAAGAUAUCAAGAGAGUUUUCUUGCCUACCUACUUUGCCAGGUGAAAUAAUCAGAUGUUUAAGUUUGGAAUCCAGCUGAGAAGAUGGCACCACAAAAAUGAUAAAUUUUCUACAUGGCUCUUCAUUCUUACCAAGGACAAGGAAAUCAUAGCUCAGGAAAUAAGACUCAACAUUUGCCAGAUGUUCAAUAUUUUUCCAUUACCUUCAAAGUACUUUCUCAGUAGUACCAGUAAAAAGAACAUCAGCAUUCUGCAAAUAUGGCAAAAUUUUAAACAAAGCUCGAAAUAAAGUUGCUCUAGAAUUAAACUACAAUGACAUUGAAAACUGGGGUGAAUUUUGAUCUCAUUAGCCUAAGAUUACUGUAUUGAAAGACCAUGGAAUUUCCCAAAGUGUCUUUUAAAAUUAUAUUUUCUGGGGCCAGGGAUUCAGUUCAGUGGUUCUGCCUAUUGCCUUGCAGGCUCAAGGUCCCAAGUUUGAUCCCCAGUACCAAAAAAAAAAAUUAAUUAUAUGUUAGAUUCUUUAUAUUUGCACUAUGCUGAAAGUCAUAGGAUUCUUACAAUUUUGUACAGUGGGUAUGAUUAAUAUCCUCAUUUGCAAAUGAGGAAUCUUAGGUUUAGAGAAGGGCAGUGACCUUGCCUAAGGGAUAGACCUGGAAAUAGUACUGAGCUAGUUAAGUUUCAAUACCUGGCCUUAGCUUUUUUCUCUAUUGCAUUAGUUGAGCACAGUUUUCCUACCCUGCAUCUCGUAAUACUGCCCUAGGGAAUUAGGCAUCUAAGGGUUUUAUCUUUUGUUGAUGUCCCCCACUAUUCUUCUGUCUGAUGAAAAACUUCCAUUUUUAUGUAAAUAUUUGUAGAGCUUUUUGUCUGUAUCUUUUCACUUCCAUUUCCCAUUCUUUCUCUGAGCUCCACAAAUGUGCUAUAAUCACUCUCACCCUCAAAGAUGUCACUUAACCCCUUUCUGCUCCACUGAUGCUACUUCCUAUUACUUUGCCCCCACCAUGGUUCUCAUAAGACAAGUCUCAGUGAUAUGCACCCUGCUUGGCUGUAUCCCAGAACUUCACUCAUAGGCAGCCGGCGUCUGCUUCUUUCACACUGUGGGAAGCGCUCUGCAGAGAAUGACUGAGGAUCAGAUGUGACAGUCUCUUUUCAGUCCUUAUUCUUCACCUUUCUGCAGUAUAAUCUAAAUCCCUUCAUUCUUUUAGAAAUUCUUUUUUUUAAAUUCUGUUAUGUGGUAUGAUUUUAUUUAUUUAUUUUAAAAUUCUGAGAUGUGAUUCUCUUAUCUAAAGCAAGAGUUGGCAAACUAUGACCCUUAGGUCAAAUUUGGCUCCCUGUUUGUGUUUGCAGAUAAGCUUUUAUUGGAACAUAGCCAAAUCUGCAGCAUUAUUGCUGCUUUCACACUACAAAAGCAUUCAGUAGUUAUGAGAGAAGGCUGUAGGGUUAACAAAACCAAAAAUAUCUACUGCCUGGCCAUUUAUAGGAUAAGGUUGCCAACUCUUGCUCUAAAUAAUUUGCCUGAAGGAUAUCACCCCAUGGUGUUCUUCUAAUACCCGAUGCUGAUGUAUGUAACCUUCUCCAUAAAAAGACACACUUUCUGAUUUCUUGUUAAGUCCACUAGUGUCUGUUCAUUUCUAUCAAACUUUACAGUUAAUAAAACACAUUCUCUUUUGCUAUCCCAGUCCUCACCAUUGUAGUCCUUAUUGUGUUUUCUCCUAGACUUUCAUAAUCAUUAAAUUCCUAAAUCCUGUGGGUUUGACAUCUACAUUACUUUUUUUGUCCUUUCUGUGAUAGUUAACUGAUUGUACCAACUUGAGUAACAAAUGCCCAACUAAAUUGGAUCGGCAUUGUUCUGGGUGUGGCUGAGGCGAUUCAAUGAAAAUUUGCUGGGAUUUUCUGGGGAUGAGUGACAAAAACCAAUGGGUUUGCUGUCUGAUGGUAUAAAGGGAAAUGAAGAAGGAAAGUUUGCUUUUGUUUCUUCAGAGGAGCUCCAGUCUUCACCUUCACCUUGGACAUCAUCUCCUUGCUUCAGACUCUUCGGCCUUCUGGCACAGACACUUUGCAUCAUGAUAGGGACUCCGAUGGACACUACAGUGAGCUCCAGGCCUUCGACCUUUGCCCCACCCUUUGACUGGACCCUUCACAUCUCCAGUGCACAGACAGCCCUUUGGCACCCUUUUACACUUGAACCUUCAGGCAGCCGCUGAAAGCCUACUUUGUAAAUCCUUAUAUAUUUUACAUUAAAUCUCUUUCUCUGGUAAGCACUGAAUGAUACAUUUUCCUUAUAAUUCCCACUGCUCCUACUUUGUCAAACCUUCUAAAAUCUCAUCUGUCUCUCUCCACUGAGCUCUAUUUGACACCUCAGAAUUAUUCUUUGUAGAAAGAGCAGUUAUGAUCAGAUCUCUCCCCUGGCCAACAAGCUUCAGUUUGCAUUUAUUGCUUACCUAGUUGUGUACCAUGGUUACUAGCCUGCUGGCCAUCUGAACUCACCUGACACUGGCAGUUUAAUCUGUUUCUCUGAAUGAACUUUAUAUCUCCCCACCCCUGACUAGACUAUCAGGUGUUCCUAGGACACACCUCAUGUGGUCACUUCUGCACCUUUGACUGUGCUGUUCCUUCUGUCUGGAAAUGGCUUUCUCCAAUCUGUUCAGAUCCAAUUCAUUUAAGGAUGCCUGGAAUAUAAGCUACUCCAUGAACAUUUUGCUGACCUCCCCAAACAAGUAAUUUGAUUUCCGCAUUUUCUUUUUCUAAUAAAUAUUUGGGUGUUUAUAUCCACAAUUAUGCUCAAAGACCUUCAGUGAGAGAUCAGAUCUCACCUAUCAAGAAGCCCAAAUUAACCCAGUAAGACAAUUCCAGAAGAAACCACCUGAAAUAUUUUUGAAGAAGGUCCAAAAGAUAGAAAUA